rnacentral:rRNA from 1 species
UACGGAGGGUGCAAGCGUUAAUCGGAAUUACUGGGCGUAAAGCGUGCGCAGGCGGCUUUGCAAGACAGAUGUGAAAUCCCCGGGCUUAACCUGGGAAUUGCAUUUGUGACUGCACGGCUAGAGUGUGUCAGAGGGGGGUAGAAUUCCACGUGUAGCAGUGAAAUGCGUAGAUAUGUGGAGGAAUACCGAUGGCGAAGGCAGCCCCCUGGGAUAACACUGACGCUCAUGCACGAAAGCGUGGGGAGCAAACAGG